UCUCCGUAGGUGAACCUGCGGAGGGAUCAUUACUGAGUGAGGGUCUCCGGGCCCGACCUCCAACCCUUUGUGAACACAUCUUGUUGCUUCGGGGGCGACCCUGCCGUCCGCGGCUGAGCGCCCCCGAAGGUCUCCAAACACUGCAUCUCUGCGUCGGAGUAUUAGUAAAUCUAAUCAAAACUUUCAACAACGGAUCUCUUGGUUCUGGCAUCGAUGAAGAACGCAGC
rnacentral:misc_RNA from 1 species